AGAUUGAACGCUGGCGGCGUGCCUAACACAUGCAAGUCGAGCGGUAACAGGUGUAGCAAUACAUGCUGACGAGCGGCGAACGGGUGAGUAAUGCUUCGGAAUCUACCUUAUGGUGGGGAAUAACUAGCCGAAAGGUUAGCUAAUACCGCAUACGUCCUACGGGAGAAAGCAGGGGAUCGCAAGACCUUGCGCCAAAAGAUGAGCCGAAGUCGGAUUAGCUAGUUGGUAGGUAACGGCCUACCAAGGCGACGAUCCGUAGCUGGUCUGAGAGGACGACCAGCCACACCUGGAACUGAGACACGGUCCAGACUCCUACGGGAGGCAGCAGUGGGGAAUAG
rnacentral:rRNA from 1 species